rnacentral:rRNA from 1 species
UACGUAGGUGGCAAGCGUUGUCCGGAAUUAUUGGGCGUAAAGCGCGCGUAGGCGGCUUUGUAAGUCAGAGGUGAAAGCCUGGAGCUCAACUCCAGAGCUGCCUUUGAAACUACAUCGCUAGAAUCAUGGAGAGGUUAGUGGAAUUCCGAGUGUAGAGGUGAAAUUCGUAGAUAUUCGGAAGAACACCAGUGGCGAAGGCGACUAACUGGACAUGUAUUGACGCUGAGGUGCGAAAGCGUGGGGAGCAAACAGG